AUGAAGAGCAAAAGAGAGAAUCGUUUGAUCGCCGAAGGGACAAGUUUAUAUUUGCCAAAUAUAAAUGAAAUUCUCAGGCAAAAGGAUUUUGCUUGGACA
rnacentral:ncRNA from 2 species